UAUAUAUCGAAUUAUAAGUUAAAUUCAUUUUUAAAAUAUGUAGCACCUCACAAGCCAAUUCAUGAGGCUUUGGCUAAUUUGGCGCGCCGAUGAAUGAUAAAAGAUUUAAAAACUGCCUCCACGUAUUAUCUGCAAACGGAUGAAAAUCCGAAUUUGACAAUAACCAGUUUUUCAAGCCUAAAGUCUUUCUAAUGGUUUCUUCCUUCAAAGUCAUUCUAUUCAUCAUUAUCAUAUUUGUACCUGAGAAUAACCGCUCACAUGAAGCAGAAGAUCCCUGAAUGGACAAUAUAUUAGUUGCCAUUUUCGUCAACACGGGAAAACGAUUCCUAUGCAAUCUCCACCAUUCUAGCGGGCUCUUAUUAGACGUGAUUCUUAAUUCAUCAACCUCACAUAUUGAUGAGAUUUCAAUUUCAAAUUUAUCAGAGGUCAGUCUGCGGCGAUGGUAACUGUCAAUAUCACCAGCUUCACUAAAAAGAGAUUCUGAAGAGAUUAUCGCACACAUUUAUAAGCAGAAUACGCAAAAAAAAUAAUACGG